UUUGACUAAAAAUAAAGGAUAUUCAUUCAUUCAAACUGAUAGAGUACAUCGAUGUAAUACAAAUUCAAAUUUGCUAAAAACAAAAAAGAUGAAUCUGCAAACAAACUCACAGCAUCCAUGUUAAUAGCAUAAAACGGCAAAUUACAUAAGCCUACAUAUAUGACUAUAUUGAAGUGUCUGGAAUGUCCAUGCCCCCAGAUCUGCAGCGUUGAUAACACAAAAGUCGACAUUGGAUAGAUUUGUACUUGAUCGGAUCUAAUUUGUCAACCUGAAACAAAUGAACACCGCACAAAGACGGGAAAACAAAAUACACCGCACAGAGACGGCACAACAGAAUACACCGCACAAGGACGGGAUAACAAAUAACACAAAACCAAACAAAUAUGUGAAANN
rnacentral:lncRNA from 1 species